CUUCUCGUAGCUUUCCCACCGCUUCAUCAUCCUCCAAAUAUCAUGGUUUCCCGAUUUCAGUUGAUAAUUUCAAUCGGUGAAGUUAAUCAAUUUUUUUUUUGUUCAGGGUUAGCUUCAUCGACUGCACAAUAUCAUGUUCCUUCGUCUCCUUCAACUACGUCGGUACAGAAAACCCUGCGUCACCGGAAACACCAAAUUCCGUCUUCCUCUUAUGUUCUACAUCUCCUUUGCCACAACACAACGUUCCCAUCGACCACUCUCUCACCGUCAUCGCGCUAUAAUCGGUAGACCUCAAAGCUAACCUCAAGAUUAGGGCUUUGUGCUCCUUAAUCCUCUAACUCUUUCCAUUACGAUUGAAAGUAACGAUUACUAUUUCCUUCCUUUGAUGAUUUCCGAUUUUGAUGGUUCCUUACUCAUUUGUCACUCUUUUAUUCCUCUUCAAGCACUAGACUCUUCUCUUCAUUCUCAGGCUACCAAAGCUGCCGGAAGACUCGACAUCAAGAUGAGGUCGCCAUUUACAAAUCUAAAGGCGCCUGGUAUGUUUACAACAUUCAUCGAUUGAAGGAAGGGGUUUUCAUCUUAAUUUUGGUUCAUCACUUUUGAUCGAUUCUUUAGUAAAUACAGGGUACAUCCCAAGUGUGGACUGAGAAAAUGGGAUCAAACGGGCGUCGUGGCGAGCCCCAACUACCAAAACCAGAUGGCUUGGCAAGACAAGGUUCAUCAUAUAACCUAACUUUAUAUGAAGCUCAACAGCAAUUAGGAGAUCUUGGAAAACCCUUACGUAGUAUGAAUCUUGAUGAACUUCUGGCUCCAAUACUCAUCGAGAAAGAAAACGGAGGUGGGUUCCUUCGAUCGUUGACUGCUCAAAAAGAAACACGAAGGAAACAGGUGGUAAUGGCGUUUCUAUAGCAUCGUCCUUAAUGUUUUUUGCUUUCUUGGGUUUCCUCAGUUCAAGUGUCUUUGUGGCCUCCUAAAAAUAACAUCACUCUACAUCAUUCAUUCAUGGUUUUUUCGCUGGACAUGAAGGCGAAUCAAGGAAUUGGAGAUGGAAGGCAAUCGCAUCAGCCCAUUCCUCGAUUUUACAUCUUCCGGUUUUAUUUCAUGCCCUAAUUGUGUCUCUAUUAGCAGGUUCAUGGAAAACUUCCCACAAUCAGACGAGAUUUUAGAGUAGGUUCAUGGAAAGAUUCCCACAAUCACUCCAUCUUUUAACCCAUCACCUACUCAGAUUCCUCCAGUAACCACCAUAGCCACCAUCUAUUUCUUCAUGUAUAUUCCCUAAUGUCUCUAAUCUCAGUUACCUUCCCCACGAUAAUCUUCCUAGAGGUUUGGUGGUGGAAGGUGGAGGUGAAAUAUCCAGUUUUUAUGACAAGGAAGAAGCAAUUUUGGGUAUUGCUUUGAUUUUGAUUUUGGUUCCCAGUUUUAUUGAAAGGUUCCUGAUUUUCUUCUUUUUUCCUUCUGAUUUUGCAUGUAAAAGAUCUAUGACGAUUUAUAUAAGAUCUAUAAUAUUGUUUUUUUAUUUUUUAUUUUUUUAUUUUAAUUUUUCUGUUCAUAACAUGAAGCUCAGUCCAAAUAGGGGGUUUAUGGUUGUCUGUGGUGACAACGUUCCAUUUGUUGGUUCUACGGAAGCCACUUGAAUUACCUCUAAGAGCCAUUUUUGUUUUUUUGACAAUGAAGCUCUUCAUCCAGGAUUUACCACAGAUCUUGGCUCAGAUCUUGGCUCAUUGAUUGAAGGUUUUGCUAUGUUGAAUUUAUUAGUUCAUAAAUCUCAAGGAAGAGAUGAUGGUGAAAUUAUCCAAGUUUAAAGCCUGAACAAUCAACUUAAAGGAAAAAGUUACUGAUGUUGGUGGCUAGAUUGAGCUACCCAUGAUACCAAGAAAUUACUUAAAACACUUGUCAACUUUAACACCAAAAAAAAGUGAGAUUGUGUUUCUAGUGGUAGGUCGGCUGAAAAGGAUGUAGAUCCAACACAAUUCUCAAGAGAAUUUAUGAGAAAAGCUUCAUCUUUAGUUGAGGAUGAGGAGGUAUCAUCAUUUUAUUAUGAUAUUAUUAGUCGUACAAAUUAUAUGCUUCUUUUCUUUUUAUGAUUUCUUAAUAUCUAAUAUACACAGUCGUUACUUUCACCUUGUAAUUUGCACUGUUUAACCCAAUUAAUUUGAUUCAUUUUCAUCUUCAUUUGAUGGAAAAUAUUAUUUCACUUGGAAAUGUUGAAGUUAAAUAUGAAGGAUCAAGACUCAGAUUACUUCACUUCGGUUUGAUGUUCUCUGUUUUGGGCUAUUUUAUAUGCUAAAUUGCCAAAAUAAUGUGGUGAUCAUAUCAUGGAAUUGUUUGAUAAGAACAUAUGCAUAAAAUUUUAAAUAGAAUAUAAAAAAGGUAAUUUUGCAUAUCAUUAUAUUGCUACUACCAUUUGUUGAAAUUUUGGCCCUGGAACAAUACACAUGAAAUAUAAGUUAUAAUUUUAGGUAAAAAAAAAAAGUGACAGAUUAAGACGUAACUCUCUUCCGCAUAGCAAGGAGAGUAUGUUGGAAAGGUGUCAAAUUUUUGUUACAUACUUAUACUUUUACGAAGAUGAUGAUAUUACACCAAGGUAAUAAAUUAUAGCUUAAUUUUUUAUCAUUAUAUUGAUGAUUUACACGGAUAAGUCUUUUUUAGAGAGCAGUUAGGAGUCUAUAUCAACAAAAGAGUGUUGAAGUGGAGUUAAGAAGCAUUCCAGACCAUCGACAUGUUUGAUCUUAUUUGCUCCUAUGGUUGUAUUAUUGCUCUUAUGCAUCAUUUCAAUUAGGUUAUACAAUAUUCUUCAUUGGAAUACUCACAUUUAUAAGGCAUUAUCUCCGGUUCACAUGUAUAGAUACCUUAAAAACAAACCCAAACCGGAUGUUGGAAUUUUUUUUAACGGGGCAUCUUAUUAUGCAUCACAGGGUCGGAAGCUAUGUUUGCUGAUCUUGGACACUUUUCUCAGUUGCCUAUCCAGGUUGAAAAGAUCCUAAAGAUUCAACAUGUGUUUGAAGAAUCAGAUGUUGGAGUACUUGAAGUUUACAUGGAGCACCUACUGUUGACAUGGAGCACUUAAAGAAAGCAAGUUGGAUCAUCAUGAUCUCAGAUGACACGUCUAGAUCAUAUGUGGAGCAUCAAGAUGCUGGUGAAUCAUUUGAAAUAUUGAUGGCUCAUUAGAAACAUUGUUGGCCCAUCCACAACUCUAUGGCUCAACAUGAAUAUGUGAUGGCUCAACUCAAGUCAAUGGAUUAACAUGACCACAUUGAUGGCUCAACAAGAUUGCAUAUGGCUCAUCAUGUAUAAUGAAGGCACGCCCAAAUGCUCAAAGACACAUGCAUUUUGUCCAUGGUCCAUCUUGAACACGCAAUUGUACAUCUUCAAGUUCAAGACACAGUCCAACAUUCAAGAAACAACUCAAAUUGGUCAACAACACUUCUAGAAGUUGAUGACAUCUAAGAAGACAAUUGAGCAACAUGAUGCUCAUGUUGCUCAUCACAUUUUCAAUGCUGAUCAAGAACGAUCAAGAAAUAUGAAGACUCAUAAUUUGGAUGGAACCCUAACGGAAUACUAACGUAAUUGGAAUAUUCCAUCCAUUCUCCGUUAAGUAGGGCAAAUGUGUCAACUGAUGGCUAAGUCAUGAUGACGUGUCAACACCUGAUUGGUCAAGCCAUGUCAUGGGCUUUUCCAAAGCCUAUAAAUAGGCCCCUUGGGAUCCAUUAUAAAGUUGCUCUUUUCUGCUAUUUUUUUAUCAUUCAUACUCAUUUUGCACAAUUACUGCUUAGACUAGUCUUCAGAGAGCCACUUGAGAGUUUUUAGUGUGUUUUACAUUCAAACACUUGUAAUUGAAUCUUCAUGAAUAUGAGACACAUUUGAAUCA